rnacentral:rRNA from 1 species
UACGUAGGGUGCGAGCGUAAUCGGAAUUACUGGGCGUAAAGGGUGCGCAGGCGGUUAUAUAAGACAGAUGUGAAAUCCCCGGGCUCAACCUGGGAACUGCGUUUGUGACUGUAUGACUAGAGUACGGUAGAGAGGGGUGGAAUUCCUGGUGUAGCAGUGAAAUGCGUAGAUAUCAGGAGGAACUCGAUGGCGAAGGCAGCCCCUUGGACCUGUACUGACGCUCAUGCACGAAAGCGUGGGGAGC